GACAGAGGGUGCAAACGUUGUUCGGAAUUACUGGGCGUAAAGCGCGUGUAGGCGGCCCUGCAAGUCGGAUGUGAAAUCCCACGGCUCAACCGUGGAAGUGCAUUCGAAACUGCAGGGCUAGAGUCCUGGAGAGGAAGGUGGAAUGCUUGGUGUAGAGGUGAAAUUCGUAGAUAUCAAGCGGAACACCGGUGGCGAAGGCGGCCUUCUGGACGAUGACUGACGCUGAGACGCGAAAGCGUGGGGAGCAAACAGG
rnacentral:rRNA from 1 species